UACGGGGGGGGCAAGCGUUGUUCGGAAUCACUGGGCGUAAAGCGCGCGCAGGCGGCGAUCUACGUCUGGGGUGAAAGCCCGGAGCUCAACUCCGGGACUGCCUUGGAUACGGGAUCGCUUGAGGAUUGGAGAGGCAAGGGGAAUUCCACGUGUAGCGGUGAAAUGCGUAGAGAUGUGGAGGAACACCUGUGGCGAAGGCGCCUUGCUGGCCAAUUACUGACGCUGAGGCGCGAAAGCGUGGGGAGCAAACAGG
rnacentral:rRNA from 1 species